rnacentral:lncRNA from 1 species
CCAAAAGGGGGAAGUUGUUCUUGUCCAAGAGCCAAAAAUGAGAAUGAAUGAGUGUAUGGGACAUUUUUGGUCCUUUGGGUACUAAAACCUAGGUCCCAAGAUCAAUCCCUAAAAUGGGCUUCUACAAAAUUAACCAAAAAUAGGCCUAAAACUAAUUAGGGCGAUGUUCCCUCCACCUCCCCAUUUCCAUCCUUCACCUCCCCAUUUUUUUUAUACUUUUCUUUAAUUACAACAAUAACCUUUUAUUAUUUUUUUCUUUUACUUUUUUAACCUUGUAAAACCCUAACUACCCUAACUUUUUACUUUCUACUUACUUUCACAUACUUCCAUAGAGCACCACCUCCCCUUCUCGAUUUCUCAUCCUACACUCCAAAUUCCUAUGCUCAAAGUUCCAACUCUCCCCUCGUCCUCUUUUCCUUUGUGUGUGCGGCGGGUGGCGGUGAGGCGGGUCUUUGCGGCGCGGUGGUUGUUGGUUCGGUUCGUUUCUGCUUGUGGGUGGGUGUGGCGUUGCGGCUAGU